GAUCGUGUGGCCUAGUGGUUAGGGCAUGUCCUUUACACGGAUGGGAUCGCAGGUUCGACCCCUGCCACGAUCA
rnacentral:tRNA from 4 species